rnacentral:lncRNA from 1 species
CUAGGGCUGUCAAAAAAAUUCGAAAGAUCCGAUAUCCGUCCGAAAAAUCCGCAACCGUAUCCGAGAAAAAGCGGAUAUUAUUCGUAUCCGAAAUAAAGCGGAUAUUAUCCGUAUCCGAAUCCGUGAUAUUCGAAUCCGAAAUUAAAUACAUAUAUGAUAUUUAAAUUAUAUAAUAUAUAAGUAUAUGUAAUUAAAAUUUUAUUUUAUUUAGCUUGUAUUGUGUGUAUAUGCAUUAAAUAAUACAUUUACAUAAUUUUUAUAUAAUUGUACAAAUACUCAAACACUUUAUACAUAUAUAAAAAUAUUAUUAGAGCUUAGUCAUCAAAAAAUUGUUUGAAAAUCAUCUUUAAUACGGUAGAGUCAUCAAAAAUAUCCGACAUCCGUCCGAAAUAUUCGCAUCCGUAUCCGAGAAAAAGCGGAUAUUAUCCGUAUCCGAAAUAAUGCGGAUAUUAUCCGUAUCUGAAUCCGGCCAUUACGGAUACGGAUACGGAUAUAGGCAUAUCCGUAUCCGAAUUAUCCGUUUGACAGCCCUA